rnacentral:rRNA from 1 species
GGACGCAAGUCUGACCAGCCAUGCCGCGUGCAGGAUGAAGGCCCUCUGGGUUGUAAACUGCUUUUAUAUGGGACGAAAAAAGGCUUUCUAGCUCCUUGACGUUCCCUAGGAAUAAGCACCGGCUAACUCCGUGCCAGCAGCCGCGGUAAUACGA